CAACUGUAUAAAGAUCCAGAUGCUUUUUUUAAAAUGUGAACUGACAUGCUACCUAAUUUCACCACCUAUUUAUACAUUUUUAUUUAUUCAUGCUACCGGUAAAGGCCCUCACAGGGAGUGUAUUACAUCGGGGGGGGGGGGGGGGGCGAUACAAUCAUUAACAAGU